rfam:Schistosoma mansoni strain Puerto Rico chromosome W, complete genome
AUCCAUCUGACAAGUCCUAAACAGGACAAAACGCGCUUCUUGGAU